rnacentral:rRNA from 1 species
CACGUAGGGUGCGAGCGUUGUCCGGAAUUAUUGGGCGUAAAGAGCUCGUAGGCGGUGUGUCGCGUCGGCCGUGAAAACCUGCAGCUUAACUGUGGGCUUGCGGUCGAUACGGGCAUCACUGGAGUUCGGCAGGGGAGACUGGAAUUCCUGGUGUAGCGGUGAAAUGCGCAGAUACCAGGAGGAACACCGGUGGCGAAGGCGGGUCUCUGGGCCGAUACUGACGCUGAGGAGCGAAAGCGUGGGGAGCGAACAGG